GCUGUAGCUCAGAGGGAGAGCACCUGCUUUGCAUGCAGAAGUUCAGAGGUUCAAUCCCCAGCAUCACCA